GGCCCUGUGGCUCAGGGGUUGGAUCGCUGGUCUCGUUAAGCCACGGGUCGUGAGUUCAAAUCUCGCCAGGGUCU
rnacentral:tRNA from 1 species